AGAUGUAAUUUUUCCGGCCACCAACAACGAUUUAAAAUGGAAGAAAGAGAUGAGAGUUUGUUUCACACGGCCUAAUUAUAUGUCCACUGUAAAAAAAAAGAAAAAAAAAGACUCAUUACUAUUGUAAAUAGAAUUUUUUGUUAAAUUUAAAUUUAAUUGUGUUGCUUAAUUAUUUCUUAAACGUUGUAGGUUUGUCACUUACCUUUUCUGUUUCCCUCCAAAUCUCGUUCGACGAUGGGAAAUCCCUUAGCGUUAUUUCCCGAUAUUGAAGAAUAAAGUGGCAAGAUCUCAUCCCUCGACAAAAGGAUCAUAGGUUAUGUCAAUUAUUUACUACUACUAGACUAUUAGUGUAAACAAACAUGUCCCUGAGUUAUAUACAUGUACUGUCCCAUUAGUCCUAGUCAAA